UACAGAGGUGGCAAGCGUUGUUCGGAAUUACUGGGCGUAAAGGGCGCGUAGGCGGCCUCGCAAGUCGCGUGUGAAAGCCCCCGGCUCAACUGGGGAGGGUCACGCGAUACUGUUCGACUCGAAGGCAGGAGAGGGAAGCGGAAUUCCCGGUGUAGUGGUGAAAUGCGUAGAGAUCGGGAGGAACACCGGUGGCGAAGGCGGCUCACUGGGCCGGUCCUGACGCUCAGGCGCGAAAGCGUGGGGAGCGAUCCGG
rnacentral:rRNA from 1 species